rnacentral:rRNA from 1 species
CGAAGGAUGCAAGCGUUAUCCGGAUUCAUUGGGUCUAAAGGGUGCGUAGGCGGACUGAUAAGUCAGUGGUGAAAUCUCUCAGCUUAACUGAGAAACUGCCAUUGAUACUGUUAGUCUAGAGUAUAGAUGACGUUGGCGGAAUAUGACAUGUAGUGGUGAAAUACUUAGAUAUGUCAUAGAACACCGAUUGCGAAGGCAGCUAACGAAACUAUAACUGACGCUGAGGCACGAAAGUGCGGGGAUCAAACAGGAUUAGAUACCCUGGUAGUCCGCACCGUAAACGAUGAUUACUCGUUGUUGGCGAUAUGACAGUCAGCGACCAAGCGAAAGCGAUAAGUAAUCCACCUGGGGAGUACGCCGGCAACGGUG